ACUGUGACAAAAAAUUCGAUUCACAGUACUUACGUGAUUCGCAUUAUUGUACUGAAGUUCCAUCUUAUACAUGUCCGGUAUGCGAAAAAAUAUUUCUUAACGUGUGGUCAUACGAUCAACAUACAUACACGUGUACAAUUAAGUCGGAAUGUUGCAGCACAAAAAAUAAUAAAAAAAAAUAUAACACUUUGUAGUUUACAAUUAUAUUGUGUCACAGAAAAAAGAGUUUGUUUAGAAUGCUAAUUAUUAUUUGCACGUAACAACAGUUAUAUUAUCGUAAGAGAAGAAAAACAAAAUUAGUAUGCCCCAUCAAUAAAAACGGAAUACUCUAAUCUAACGGAAACUAAAAUGGAAGGAAGAAACACAAUCAGACGACGAUAAAAUAUAUGUUGACGUAUGUAAGAACCAAUAAACGAAUAGAGUGAAUUAUUUAAUUUCGACGAUAUGUGAAGGUUAUUAUUAUUUCCGAUCUGUUGACGUUACCAUUUUCUUGCGAUCAC